AUUUAUAGAUUAGUCAUACAGUAUAUCUACAGAUUGUGUAUAACAUAGCACUGUCCUGACAGUUUGUUUGUUGUUUCUGGUCUUAUAGAACCCAGGGAAAGUCUCUGGUCCUGUGUCUGGCCUCUCUCCUCUUGUGACCUCAGCACCCGCAGCCCUCGCCUGGCCCCAAUCACCAACCUGAGUGAGAACGGCAGGAAGCUGCUCCAGAAAAUGUCAGGAGUGACCCCACAGGUUUCUCCAGUGGCUGCUGCCCAAACUGAGAUGUUCAAAGAAAUAAUGGCCAACUACUACUACAACAUACACACACUCGCAGAGAUUUUGAGUUUUGCUUACUCCUCCAACACACAGAGAAACUUAAUUUCAGAAACAUGAACUAUGUUUACCAAAAUACACAUAUUGGUCUCAUUGUUAUAUUUUGAGACAUGCACCAUUCUUUAAAAUAUUAAUUUAAAAAAUACCCAAUAAUUAUAUUGGUUCCCAUACAGCCUACUAGGGUAGCGUAUGAUAAUGGGUUAGAUUUACAUAGUGUGUAGUUAUCAGGCUUGGAAAUAUAGCCAGGAGAUGCAGAGUCAGCACCCCUACUCAUGUCAUAAGUGCCAUGAGAUGUUUAGUGACCACAGAGAGAUAGGACCUCUGUGUGCAGAGUCUCAUCCGAAGGACAGCACCGGCCGCAGGGCAGUGUCUGGCAUUGGGGUCUUAGGUCUUCUUUGGCCAAAGGGAAGUGAAGAGGGCCAGUAUGAUAGAGCAAGAACUUUCUUAGCAGAUAAUGAUAACAUGACAACAGUAGCUGUAGAUGAUGUAAUGAAAAGUUGGAGGGUGGUUGGUAAUGGAGGACAUCAGGUGGAUCCACGUCUGGGUGUUGGGCAGGACCCCUAGCUCCUGGAGAACAGGAGCAGAGUUAAAGGGAACAGGGUAGAAGACAGAGACCUAAACACUCUGCUCCGGUAGCUCUCCUUCUGUUUCUCCUGCGCUUUGUCCAUGUUCAGUCUCACCUUUAAUGAUGACAGGAAUACAUGCAAUUAUAUUUCAUAUUACAAAUACAUUUCUUACAUAUCUCUUGGAGUGACAGAAAAUAUAUUAACAGCAGACAAACAUUUUUACCUGCUUAAAAACCUCCACGUCCUUCUCAGUCUGUGCCUGAAGGUAGUACUCAAAGGUGUUCUGAUCUGUUUGGACAAUUUCCACCACAUCAGGUGGGGUUUCAGUGAUCUGAAAGUACGUUAUACAAAAAUAGCAAUAGACAAACACUAAGUCAAUCACAAUUUUGAAAGACUACAUUAUAUGCAGUAAUUGUAUAUACAAUUGCAUUGUUUACCUCAGUUUUUAGCUGCGGCUCUCGUCCAUACUCAGCAUGGAUGCUGCUGUUGUGUGCAAAGAGAAUUACCUUCAGGUUGUUCUCCCACCCUUCCUGAUGCCAAUCAAGGGACUUGCCCAUGGCAGUCUUGAGGGUCUGGUUGGUCCAUUCACCAAACCUGGAGGAGGGGGUAGGAAAGCAAUUUCUAUUGACAAUGUGCCUUAAGAUAUUGAAAUAUAUCUGAUUGUGUACCAUGGAAAAACAAAAACAAAUUGUAAAAAAUAAAUAUAACAAACCAUUGGUGACAGAAUAUAACCUGUAACAUACGUACCUUAUUCCAGCGUUCAUGACCUUGGUCACUCAAGAUGACCUCAGGAGAACCGUGAGUGUUGAAGUUGUUCACUAUUGCCUUGGCCUCGCUAGUCUCGUCCUUGAUGGGUAUCAUACAAAACAAAAAUCUAUUUUUGGUUCCAAGCACCCUUUUUAAUGGGUUAUAGAAGGGAAUUUAGAGUUAAGCACGUACUCUUCCUUUACUGACCUUAAUGGGUAUGAUCAGUCGCCGUCAGACACCAGCUGUUGCCAUUCAUGGAUUUCCCUAACCCUAACUCAUCAGUCCAGGUAGUCCUGAGGCAUGGUCCUAGGGCUCAGGUCCUCCGAGAGAAGAGAAAGAGAGAGAGAAUUAGAGGGAGCAUACUUAAAUUCACACAGGACACCGGAUAAGACAGGAGAAAUACUCCAGAUAUAACAGACUGACCCUAGCCCCCCGACACAAAUUAUUUCAGCAUAAUUACUGGAGGCUGAGACAGGAGGGGUGGGGAGACACUGUGUCCCUGUCUGAGUAUACCCCCGGACUGGGAAAACCAGGCAGGACAUAACCCCACCCACUUUGACAAAGCACAGCCCCCACACCACUAGAGGGAUAUCUUCAACCACCAGCUUACCAUCCUGAGACAAGGCCGAGUAUAGCCCACAAAGAUCUCCGCCACAGCACAACCCGAGGGGGGGCGCCAACCCAGACAGGAAGAUCACGUCAGUAACUCAACCCACUCAAGUGACGCACCCCUCCUAGGGACGGCAUGAAAGAGCACCAGUAAGCCAGUGACUCAACCCCUGUAAUAGGGUUAGAGGCAGAGAAUCCCAGUGGAGAGAGGGGAACCGGCCAGGCAGAGACAGCAAGGGUGGUUCGUUGCUCCAGAGCCUUUCCGUUCACCUUCACACUCCUGGGCCAGACUACACUCAAUCAUAUAACCCACUGAAGAGAUGUCUUUAGUAAAGACUUAAAAGUUGAGACCGAGUCUGCGUCUUUCACAUGGGUAGGCAGACCAUUCCAUAAAAUUGGAGCUCUAUAGGAGAAAGACCUGCCUCCAGCUGUUUGCUUAGAAAUUCUAGGGACAAUUAGGAGGCCUGCGUCUUGUGACCGUAGCGUACGUGUAGGUAUGUACGGCAGGACCAAAUUGGAAAGAUAGGUAGGGGCAAGCCCAUGUAAUGCUUUAUAGGUUAGCAGUAAAACCUUGAAAUCAGCCCUUGCCUUAACAGGAAGCCAGUGUAGGGAGGCUAGCACUGGAGUAAUAUGAUCACAUUUUCUGGUUCUAGUCAGGAUUCUAGCAGCCGUAUUUAGCACUAACUGAAGUUUAUUUAGUGCUUUAUCCAGGUAGUCGGAAAGUAGAGCAUUGCAGUAGUCUAACCUAGAAGUAACAAAAGCAUGGAUUAAUUUUUCUGCAUCAUUUUUGAAUAGAGUUUCUGAUUUUUGCAAUGUUACGUAGAUGGAAAAAAGCGGUUCUUGAAACAGUCUUGAUAUGUUCGUUAAAAAAAGAGAGAUCAGGGUCCAGAGUAACGCAGAGGUCCUUCACAGUUUUAUUUGAGACGACUUUACAACCAUCAAGAUUAAUCGUCAGAUUCAACAGAAGAUCUCUUUGUUUCUUGGGACCUAGAAUAAGCAUCUCUGUUUUGUCCGAGUUUAAAAGUAGAAAGUUUGCAGCCAUCCACUUCCUUAUGUCUGAAACACAGGCUUCUAGCGAGGGCAAUUUUGGGGCUUCACCAUGUUUCAUUGAAAUGUACAGCUGUGUGUCAUCCGCAUAGCAGUGAAAGUUAACAUUAUGUUUUCGAAUGACAUCCCCAAGAGGUAAAAUAUAUAGUGAAAACAAUAGUGGUCCUAAAACAGAACCUUGAGGAACACUGAAAUGUACAGUUGAUUUGUCAGAGGACAAACCAUUCACAGAGACAAACUGAUAUCUUUCCGACAGAUAAGAUCUAAACCACUCCAGAACUUGUCCGUGUAGACCAAUUUGGGUUUCCAAUCUCUCCAAAAGAAUGUGGUGAUCGAUGGUAUCAAAGCCAGUACUAAGGUCUAGGAGCAUGAGGACAGAUGCAGAGCCUCGGUCUGACGCCAUUAAAAGGUCAUUUACCACCUUCACAAGUGCAGUCUCAGUGCUAUGAUGGGGUCUAAAACCAGACCGAAGCAUUUCGUAUACAUUGUUUGUCUUCAGGAAGGCAGUGAGUUGCUGUGCAACAACACUAAAACACUUAAGUGUCUCUCUUGAUCCUAGGUCCUGGCAGAGUUGUGCAGACUCAUGACACAUGAGCUUUGGAGUAAUACGCAGAUUUAAAGAGGAGUCCCUAAUUUGCUUUCUAAUGAUCAUGAUCUUUUCCUCAAAGAAGUUCAUGAAUGUAUUACUGCUGAAGUGAAAGCCAUCCUCACUUGGGGAAUGCUGCUUUUUAGUUAGCUUUGCGACAGUAUCAAAAAUAAAUUUCGUAUUGUUCUUAUUUUCCUCAAUUAAGUUGGAAAAAUAGGAUGAUCGAGCAGCGGUGAGGGCUCUUCGAUACUGCACGGUACGGUCUUUCCAAGCUAAUCGGAAAACUUCCAGUUUGGUGUGGCGCCAUUUCCGCUCCAAUUUUCUGGAAGCUUGCUUCAGAGCUCGGCUAUUUUCUGUAUACCAGGGAGCUAGUUUCUUAUGACAAAUGUGAGUGCAUGUAACCGCACUCACUGUCUUCUGGGUAAGCAACUCCAGUGUAGAUUUGGCCUUUUGUUGUAGCUUAUUGUCCUGCUGAAAGGUUUAUUCCUCUCCCAGUCUCUGGUGUAAAGCAGACUGAAGCAAGUUUGCCUUAAGGAUUUUGCCUGUGCUGAGCUCCAUCCUGUUUCUUUUUAUCCUGAAAACCUCCCCAGUAUUGUCAAGCAUACCCAUACCAUGAUGCAGCCACCACCAUUCUUGAAAAUAAGGAGGCAGUUACUCAUUGAUGUGUUGUGUUGGUUUUGUCCCAAACAUAACACUUUGCAUUUACGCCAAAAAGUGCAUUCCUUUGCUGUGUUUUUUUGCAGAAUUACUUUAGUGCCUUCUUGCAUACAAGAUGCAUGUUUUGGAAUAUGUAUUACUUAUUAUUAUUCUGUAUAUUUGUAUUCUUCUUUUCACUCUGUCAUUUAGGUCAUUAUUGUGGAGUCACUACAAUGUUGUUGAUCCAUCCUCAGUUCUCUCCCAUCAGAGCCAUGGAACUCUGUAGCUGUUUUAAAAUCACCAGUGACCUCAUGAUUGGUCCAUUCUGCCAUUCCAGUCGACUCGAACCUGUCGCACAAAGUCAUACGAAAGGACGACGUGGCUUUCUUCAGUUACCCUUUCAGCUUCGAGGCUGAAAGGGAGAGAGGAUGGGGCAGGAGAGAGGAUGGGACAGAGGAGUCCCUCCCCCAAUGGCCAGUGCUCUACUUCAAGGUCCUCUCCCUGGACUUCUGGCAGCGCUACAGAACUAUGGCUACCUGGUCAUCCCUUCCACCCCUGGGAAGCAUACAAUAACAUGCUAUACGUGGAGACGACUGCAGAUCGGAACUGAGACGCUUCUUUAUUGGUGGAUCCCCUGAGAUGGAGGACUACAGUUACGUCAGAGUGAGAGGGACCUUCAAGGGCAUUUGUUGAAGCCAGCAACCUGUAGAAGAGGCAGAGUGUUCUGGACCAGCUGGGAGGCUUCAGCCAGCAAGGGGCUGUCUAUAAUGUCCUGGAGGCAUUCCAGAGGGCAAUGAGACGGAUGAAGGAGACCAGAGAGAGUUUUCCCAGAGACCUUAUCAACACCUCAGCCCAACUCAACUCUGAUUCCACUGCAUAGACACAUACAUUGUAUUACAUAGGCAGCACAACAAUAACCUGAAACAUCCUGCUAAAGAAAUUCCAGUAUCCAAGAUUACAUCCCCCUCACCAGCCAUCUUCGUUUAUGUUCUGUAAUUUUGUAAUUACCUGUAUAUAUUUUGAGAUGUGGUUGAGAUAUUUUAAGAGAUGUACAUUUCCUUUGAGGUUGCAUUUUGAUGACUUUGUAGCACAGUGUCAGAUGAUGUAUGAACUAUUUUCAAUGUUUUGUUAUCAUAGUUUUUCAAUAGAUUUCAUAUUAAAACUAAGAUAUGCUUAUUA